UAUUUUAUAUAACCAUCCACUUUGUGACUUGCAUCAGAUGUUCGAAGAUUUUUUGCACACAAGUGGUAUUCACAGUCUGCAAAGGAUAGAACAACCCAUCUCCGUACAGAUGGACAGGAUGCAUGGUAUUUGCCCUGCUCUGGAGUAACAAGCCUGCUUACUAGCAAUUCUUGGUUGCUAGGA